UACGUAGGGUGCAAGCGUUGUCCGGAAUUAUUGGGCGUAAAGAGCUCGUAGGCGGUUUGUCGCGUCGAAUGUGAAAACCCGGGGCUCAACCCCGGGCCUGCAUUCGAUACGGGCAGACUAGAGUUCGGUAGGGGAGUCUGGAAUUCCUGGUGUAGCGGUGAAAUGCGCAGAUAUCAGGAGGAACACCAACAGCGAAGGCAGCACUCAGGGCCGGUACUGACGCUGAGGAGCGAAAGCGUGGGGAGCGAACAGG
rnacentral:rRNA from 1 species